rnacentral:rRNA from 1 species
AGAGUUUGAUCAUGGCUCAGAUUGAACGCUGGCGGCAGGCUUAACACAUGCAAGUCGAGCGGAAACGAUGAUAGCUUGCUAUCAGGCGUCGAGCGGCGGACGGGUGAGUAACGCGUAGGAACCUACCUAGUAGUUUGGGAUAGCCAUUGGAAACGAUGAUUAAUACCGGAUACGCCCCACGGGGGAAAGCAGAGGAUCUUCGGACUUUGCGCUAUUAGAUGGGCCUGCGUGAGAUUAGCUGGUUGGUGAGGUAAUGGCUCACCAAGGCGACGAUCUCUAGCUGGUCUGAGAGGAUGAUCAGCCACACUGGAACUGAGACACGGUCCAGACUCCUACGGGAGGCAGCAGUGGGGAAUAUUGCACAAUGGGCGCAAGCCUGAUGCAGCCAUGCCGCGUGUGUGAAGAAGGCUCUAGGGUUGUAAAGCACUUUCAGUCGGGAGGAAAGGUUAUCAGUUAAUACCUGGUAGCUGUGACGUACCGACAGAAGAAGCACCGGUA